UCUAUAUUGUUGAUCAUUUGGAAAAAAGAAAUGGUUUUGAGAGAGUUUAGUGGAAAUACGAAAAAGUAUAGAGAAAAGUUUUGGAUCGAGAGUUAUAAAUCAAGAAUCGAAAUAAGGAGCUCAAUAAGAUUACCUAUCAUAAUCAGGAAUAAGAUAUCAGUGAAGUUUUUGAUUGAUAUGAGUCAUAGGAACUCCACAUGUUAUCAGGAUCGCCGGCUGACACGUUUUGGCAACCUUCUCCUCCCCAUCAUUUUUGCAUAUAAAUAAAUGUGUAGUAUAUAGAGUGGUGAGAGGGUCCCACUACGGUUUAGAAUGUUUUGAAAUAUGUACUUGAUAAAUGUUGGUUUUUGAAAUUAUAUAAUAUAUGUGUUUUUUGUACUUGACGCGCGGGGUAAUUUAUAUUAAAAUAUAAAAACUAUUUAUAGUAAGUGCAUACGUCAUAAGGGUUGAGGUGUGACAGUUUAGGUGGUAUCAGAGCGGGGAUAGAUUCCCGCUGGGACAUGACAUUCAUAAAUAUCAUACGAUACAUAUGAGUUAUAAGUUGCACAUGCAUUUGAAUUAUCAUGAACAUUUGUCACCAAGGAGAGAAGGGUUAGCCGCCCUACAUUGUCCAUUAAUUAUAGAGUGCAUUUCAUAUACAUGUUGCAUCAUAUGAGGAUUACCCAGGCUUUUAGAACAAAGAGUAUAUGGACCAAUGAUGAGGUAAAGAGGUUGAAAAUUUAAAGAGCCCGGAAAAGUAGAAGUUGUUGAUUUUAUGGGACUAAUCUGACUGAGGCUGGGAUAUAGUUAAAAGUGAUAGAACCGUGUUCAAUCAAAUCAGUUGUAUGUCAGAAGAAGGUUUUGAUUAUAGGGUAUCUCUUAUUUGAAGCAAUACUUACUCUUGUGGGGAAACAGUCUCACAAGCUAUGAUACAACCUCUGAUAUUCUGGUAUUCAGUUCAGACGAUUUUUCUAGAGAACUCAAUGCUAAAUGUAUGCAAAGAAGUGUAUUGUGAUAAGAAGAAGAGAAGGUUUUGUCUUUAAUCAAGGAACUAUGUUUGUUGA